UCUAACCUUUACCCAAGUAGCAUUUUCCAACGGAAAAAUUGUGAUAUAUUGCGAUUUUAUUGGCGAUAAAAUCGCUCGGAUCAUCAACAUCUGAGCGAUUAUCCUCGAUCUUGUUGCAAUAAAUUGCGAUUUUAUUGCCCGGCAAUUUAUAGCGAUCACUGUUACUUGGGUAAUCAAUCAUAAGUUCAUACUAAUUAAUAUUAAUGAUCCAUCUCAAAUUUUAAGAUCGAAAUCAUUCGGCUACGUUAUUUUGCACCAGAGAUAUGCGCAUGCCUUUUAUUGUUUUAACUUCAACUCCCUCCCCUCCUAAUAAUUUGAUUUAAAAAUAUUUGUGUGUUUUAUUGAACUCCUAAAGUGACUGUCUAUCAAAUCUGAAAAUAUUUUGAGGAUCAGGCUGAGGUUGGAAAUGGCAUAUUUAAUUUUCCUAAGGCUCUUUUCCCAAAUUUCUCCCUCUUAUGACCUUAUGUUCACUUUAUGUCAAAUGGGUGACUUUUACAAAGGAAACAAAUAAGUUAUCGGCUUUUGAUACAUGUAUGAUCUCUUCAACAAUGUGCUUUUAUGGUUUUUCAUUUUGGGCAUUCAGGUAAAUCCAGGCUCUGACACCAGUCUAGCAUCUCAUGGUAACCCGAGUUAGAAUCCCAUCAAAACAAAAGGAAUUUCAAGAGUCGAAUCUCUGAUAUGUUUAAAAAAUCUGGCUCUACCUCCCGAGGGAACAGCAUGGAACGAACAAUGGGUUUACCUCCAAGUGGCAGCAGUGUUAUGUCAGACUCGGCUAUGAGACCUCUCACUAGAACUUCUCCUUCUCCCGCGAGAAGUGAUGUAAGUUCAUCAAGUGCUUCAAGACCACUGAUAGGAUCUAACGGAAAACGAAUGACGGCUCCCGGGAGUGUGCCUCUUCCUAGGAAAGUGAACAAUAAGAAAUAA
rnacentral:lncRNA from 1 species